UUUCCGUAGGUGAACCUGCGGAAGGAUCAUUCAUAAUAAAGUGUUUUAUGGCACUUUUUAAAAAUCCAUAUCCACCUUGUGUGCAAUGUUAGAUCUCGUCAAUCUUGGCGAGAUUUUUAUACAUCAACUCAUUCUUUAACUAAUUUGUCUGAAAAAUAUUAUGAAUACUUAAUUCAAAAUACAACUUUCAACAAUGGAUCUCUUGGCUCUC
rnacentral:misc_RNA from 1 species